GUUUUUUAUGACUUUGAUUUGAAGAGAGAAUGUUGAAUUUUUGGGUUUUGGGGUUUGAAAUUUUUAGAAGAGCUAGGCCAAGUGAAAGGAUGUAUGGUCUGGUCAUAGUGUUUAGUUUCUUCCAAUGAGCCUCACCUAUAAAGGAAAUAAUAUCUGAACAACAACCCGACUACUUUCAAAUCUUAAGCUACAUGUUUGUCAUCCUUACUUAGCUAGCACAUGUCUUAUACGGUCAUUAUACUGUUCAUAUAGUUACCAUUCACAGCAGAGUUACUUUGAUAAGGACUAAGAAAGGUGUAAAACACUAGAAUCAAGAAGAAGACAAAGAUGACCUAGAAAAAGACUUAUGUUGUCAUAUAAAACUUAUAUAUUCAAACUUUUUGGUAAAGUACAUACAUAAAAUAAUACAGAAAAAAACUUACAAUAGGAAAUUACCAAAAAAAGGAAAUUACAGAAAGAAAUACUUAGGAAACUAGAAAGAACACUUGUUCACUUAUAAACACUCACUUGCAUAAAGAGUUUUGGAUAGUAUUUAUAGGAGAACCUUGUUGGUGGUAGUUGCAUGAAGGGUUGUUGAGUGGAAGAUGAGGUGGUUGUUGCAAAAAGAGGUUAAGUGGGGAGGAAAGUAGGUUGAGCGGGGAUUAAGAACAUCUGUCAGUUAUUGGUGUCAAGUAGUGUUUUGAUUCGUCACGGCUUACCAUUUGUGAUUGUGAUGACAUAAGUGUUUACGUCUUUUGGUUAUAUGUGAUGUUACUAUGCACGUCUUUAGUUAUGACUCCAUCAUGUUAUCAAAAUUAUGUUCACUCAUAUAAUCGAGUGACAGGGUUCGGGAACUAGUGACUCAGGUGAGCUAGUGAGUCUAGCCAAAUAGAUGUUAGCUGCUCCCAAUGAGAUAGUCACUUAUUUGAUAAUCUAUUAUUCAGUUGGCACAAGACUUUAUGUUGGAUAGAAAAAUGGAAAGGAAAAAAAAAUAUUAUUCUCGUAUCUUUAGGCCAAUAUACUUUUUCCAUAUAAGUUUCACCUGCUAAAUUAUUAUCAUGAGGAUUAUCCCAUGAUAUUCUAAUUUUUUAAAAUAAAGAGCAUUCCUUCAUUUCAUAUUAUUUUAUUUUAUUUUAUUCCGGCUAACAUAGGAAACUAGCCGUUGCCAGUUGCGAUGACUCCAACCCUCAACGUUCGAAUUUCCGUAGAGCCACCAUUUUCUCUCGCUUGAUAACCCUUCUUCUUCCCCCUCCUCUCCGAUCCCCCCACUGCGCCCGAUAGAGUAAUGGCGGCGGCUGCAAAGAUAUCUCGAGCCGUCAUACGCCGACCCUCGGGAUUCUCCAAGCUCUCCACUACUCGCCGAAGACUCUCGUCGAAGUCCCCGGCAAAAGAUAAACGGGCGAAGCGUAUCGAAUUGUCCCGAAAACUCGAUUCAUUUUUCACUCCGGAGAAGAAGAAGAAGAGUUCCGAGACGUCAAAGAAGGGGAGAUUGAAAACAGUAGGCAGUGAUUCGGAGGACAAGGGUUUGACGGGGAGUUCGAAAGUGAACGCUUUGAGGCGAUCGAUGCUGGAGGAGGCGAUGAACAGCCUGCCAGCGCACGGGGCAGGGCGCGUCAUGUACAUGGUGAAGACCUUCGAGAGGCUUCAGUCGGUUGUCAUGAUGGCAGAGUAUGUAGAUGGAGAGGAAACGAGAAAAGUGAAGAAUUGGGCACUGCCUGGAUUGGAGUGUCGUCCCGAGGCCAAGUUGAGUGAUUUUUCCCCUUCGCCUGUUUCAUGUUCGGCAGAAUGUCUAGCUGAAGAAGGAACUUUGACUGAGCAUUCGUCUGUGAAGAACAAGGAUAGAAGAUUCAGCAGCGGAAGCAAUGAAUCUUGUAAAGUCCAAAGGAACGACCAAAAUAGCAAAGUCCCAUCAAAAAGAAGGAAUGACAGACUUAAAGCUAAAAGCCCACUGCCUUUCAAAUUGAGUGCAAAGGUUUCCAAGCACAUAAGCUUCCUUGAGAAAAUCAAACAGGAGAGAGAUAGACUGAUGAAGGUUACAUUAUUUUUUAUUAUAAUUUAUUUAUAUUUAAAUCUCUUCGGUUUGACUGAUAAAGUUAAUGUCGUCUUUUUAAAUUAAAAAAGAAAAGAAAUAAGAAGACUUCCUGAAAUACUUGGACCAAGUGUCUUAAAACUUCGAAUCAAUAAAGGUCGUCAACUAUGUUGAUCCUUAGAAGAAGAUUUGGGAACCCCUUAAAGAUUAAACUUACUAUUCAAGAUACAAAUUGCUGGGAAUGUGAAACAACACGAUUCAUCAAUUGUUGGAAAGCCAUGAAAAAUGGCAAUUUUCUUGGUGUAUGUUCACCAAAAGAUUAUGCCAAUAUUAUUUUGUUUAUCAAUUCUUAUUUUAAUUCAACCAAUUGUCAAUAUAUUGUUAUAAACAAGCUUAAAACAAGCUUA